AGCAAGAAGUCCUUGAAAUUGUUAAAGGUCACGCAAGAAACACUUUCAGUGUAUGUACACAGUGAAACGCGAACAAUCGAGAAUUAUCCGAUGGUAUUGUGGAGAAAUGGCUGACCAGAUUGGCGAAACAGCCACAGUUUCACGCAAUACUUUCCCCGUCUUUCGCUCGCUUCGUUGUUCCAGAGAGUAAAUUCAAUGUUCACUAUAAAUAACGUUUAUGCGUUUGCACGAAGACAUUCGUUCUUAUCGAGCCGUAACGAAAACGCGAUUUUACGAGCACGAGCAGAAGCACGAUAAGCAAUUAUUAUAUUGCUCUACAGCAAUCAUCUAUCCAAAUGAAGCGAACAAUAUUUCGAGAGGUAGCGAUGCCGAUUACAGACUGAACGACCAAUGAAUGAUUCAGCCACGUUCAACGGUGACCUUACUCUUUUUCGAAAGUUGCGUAUUUGCUAUGAAACUGUCGAUAAUUUCGAACUUUACUGUUGAGAUAAUGCCUGCAACAGAUGGCAUGGAAAAAUACAAGAGGUAUGUGUACAUAACAUUAAAAUUUGGUAUUGCUCGUUUCAAUUUUUUUAUAUUUAUCAGUUGAUGAUGUGAACUGAUCCUCUUCUCGAUAUUGGAUUCAGGUAUUGAUUAAAUUCUGAACUUAUAGAAUGAAUGUCACUUUUUAACGAUAGCUCUAACGAAAUCUGGAGUUACAAUAGUAGUAUAGUAUGGUAUAACCGUGGCUAAAAUGGAAUAUGUUCUAGGCAAAGGAGAGAAGCGAGAAGAAUUGCGAAUAAAAAUUUCCAUUCACGUCAUUUAACAUCGGUUGAUAGAAUCGUGUGAUCUAAUUUUUACAAAUUUAGUGUCAUGAAACUGUAAGAUACAGAAUCUGCGAUUACACGUGUCGUAUUGAGGAAUAAUGUUCUUCGAAUUAUUGAUGAAACAUGUCGUAGAUAUGCAAAUGAAAUAGCAAUUUACAAGAAUAGUCUGAGGUGAUAUUUGAAAAAAUAUGCAUUUGAAAUACUAUUUAUGUUUUACUUUCAAAUGAAUAACUGAAUUAACAAAAUGUUUGGACUAUUAAAUAAUCAUUCGAAUGUUUUGUCUGCUUUUUCUCUUUAAAUACACGAGGCUCCGCGAGUCGCAUUUCUAUUCUAAGUGACUAUGGAAAUAAAUUUUCAUAUUUCACGUGAUUCUCGGAAAGAAAAAACAAUAUAUUGUUGUAGUUCAAAGGAAUUCGGUUUAUUGAACUGUUAUGUGAUCGCGAACUCGUUUGAGUUCCGCGACGUCUUAUGAUUUAAUGGUUCGAGGAAAUAAGAGAAUGUAAAGCCGUGGAUUGCAAAGUCCACUUGGAUGCACGAUCAGCAAGAAACGAGGAAGUAACAGCAGGAGAAUGAUUAAACCCGUACUAUAUCCACAUUUAAAUAAUUAAUUUCUAUUAAAACUAUAAACUCUUACAUCGAAUAGAAUAUAAGGACCUUACACAACGAAAUAAAUGGCUAAACAAAUAAUUAUCUUUUUUUUUUGUUGUGAUUUUUUACAACUCAGUAUGUUGUCAACAAUUUCAAUGCCACGAACAUUGCAUUUUUAUUUAAUCUUGGAAUUAAACAUGUCUUUUUUCCCUACUUGUCAAGAUUUUGAAAAUAUUACUCGUCGUAAUAUUGGAAUAUUACAAAUAUCAAAAUAUUAAUAAUUAUAUAUUUGGCUUUCGUAAAAUUUCCACAAUUUAUCAGCUACUUUUGAACCUAAUAGAUCUUUUCGUUUUCAAUUAUGUCAUAUCGAAAUCUUCCUUUUUAUUCAUGCACCGACGUUUCUCCCUUGCGAUCUAGAAAAUAUUUUCAUUAAACAUAUUUAACGUUCUUCUCGUUGAAAUCGAAAGGCAUAUGGAAAUUAGCUAAUGCAGAGCCUCAACAUGAUAUCUCACUUAAUUCGAACGGUAUCGCAACAAUUCUUAAUUAAAAGAUAUGAACGCGUCCUUAUCCGGGGUAAUUUGUCGAUGAUCGGACUUCUUCGCUCGAACAUCGAUUGACCCAAUUACAUUGAUUUUAUGCUACCGUUACUAUCGAUCGUGUUAUGGUCAUCGUAUUUAUCCGCAGUUAAUUAAGACAUUAUACGUACCAACAUUAAAACAGUAGUGUGAUUAAAAUUUAUAUCAUUUAAAAUAAUCUAUAUAUAUCAUCAAAUGAAAUGAUUUAUCAUUGUAAAGGUGAAACGAACUCGUUUCUAUCUUACAGUCAAUUAUCGCUUCUUGUCUUUCAAACGAUAUACUCUUUAAUAUUGUAACUAACUUUAUCGAUUUCGAAAAUUUCUAUAUCACAUUUUAUCGAAAGCCUAUCACAAUCAUUUGUCAACAAGCAGUCGGGCACAUUCGUGUCAAUACAAGAUCAUCGACGAGUUAUUGACAAAAUCGUCGCAUCAGAUCACCAAAUUCUGUCAUCUUGUUCUCCCUUGUCUCCUCUGUCGUGUCAUCUACCAAUGCACAAUUCGAUGACUGAUACCGCAUGAAAAAAGAAAUGGACGCGAUUGCAUGAGAAUCGGACGAUCCGUUUAUCGCAGUUCAAUACGGGAAGAUUCUGAUGAAACGAUGAUCUGACACGGGUUAUCGGCACUUCGUUUCAUAGUAAUCGUUUUAUUUUUUCGAUCCACGACGGAACCACGCGUCGUUCACGUUCCCGUUUCUCAAACGAGGAAGUGGUAUUUAGCGAGAAAUCGCGGAAAAUCGUUAAAUGGAAUGCUUGUCGCGAGACUUUCAGUGCAUCAUAUUGUAAAUUUAUAAAAUUAUUAAAUGACGUAGUAAGAUGUAUGCAUUAGUUCGUUAUGUGAUCUCUGCAAAUCGAUCAGGUUCUUCGAGGCACUGGAACGGACUGAAACGGGUGCGUUUCAAGUACUCCAAUGAAGGGUCUCUUCAGUGGUCGUACAAUGAGGCACAAUUGUCGCUAACCCUCUAACUUAGUUAAUCCUUGAGAGCGACCGACCGGACGAGAUGCACUUAUGGACCUGAAUGUUUCUACGAGUGAGACGCAAAAUCGUUUCAGAGAACAGCACGAUCUUGGCCAGCUCCUCUUAUGGACAAAUCUUCAAGGAUCAAUUAAAAGGAAGGCCACACGUCAUACUGGAUAAAGAAAUAAACUUGAGAGAUUAUGUUAUAACGGAAGUAAUCAUAAAAGACUCUGAUAUAAAUAUAGAAUUAAUUCAAUAAAAUUCAACUAUCUACUUAUGUAAUUAUUAUAUUGUAUUAUUAUAUUAUUAUAGUUUGUACAGAUUGUAUUAAGAAUUCGUAAAUUCGAAAUAUGUAAGAUUGAAAUAUGAAAAUUCGAAUGUCACAAGGGUUAAUAGAGAAAAACGAGCCCACGAGAGUUAUUGACAAAGUAAGUUACCGCAGGAUGCUUUCUUUCGAAAGUAAGAAUCAAAUCUCUUUGUUCUUGGGAAACAUUCUUGCUAAACUUUGUAACGGCCAGAAUGUGUUUAUAACGUUGGAAAGGAAACGCUUGUGGUUUCGCGCUUACGCAUUUAUCAACUUACAAAGGCAGUUUCUGAAACUUGGCUCCUCGUUUUGCAGUUAUCUUGUGUGAAACUGUAUGAAGGAUAGCAAAUCUUGCGUAAAAAUUGAACAACAUGAAAAUGAAAUGGAAUAUGAAAUUAAUAUCGACGAGUGUUGAACAAAAUGGAGAAGAACGAUAACAAUUGAUAUCAGAAAUUCCAGCAAUAGUUAAAAAGUAUUGAUGGCUUUAAAGUUUAGUCGCUUGUACCUAAAGUUAGCAACCUAGUUUCGCAUACUUCCUAGUUGCCAGGAAAAAUUAAUUGUUCUCGUGCUGGUCACGAAUGUUGUUCUAUGCCAUUUUGACGUCUUACAGCUCAACUUUCGGCGAUUCUAGCCGCGUGGAUUGUUCAAUUAAACGACCGCUUUCACGAUGGAGAAAACAAUUUGAUCAAAUUGCUCGAAUAUAUCAUUCAUAACAAAUGGAAGAUGCAGUCAAGUGUUAUGUUUGUAAAAUAUCCCGUGUUUACCAUUAUAAGGAAUUCGUUACAUUUUUCCAAAUCGCGCGGAAUAAAUAUAACUCGAUAUAACUCGAUUAAUUACAAAACGUAACCAAAGUGAACUUUUCGCGAUUUUCAAUCCGUUAUUAUUCGAGUUGCAUCUCUUCGAAGAAAAAGCUUACGUCAUCCUCAAUUCUAUCUAUAAUUCUCUAGAAUUAUAUCCCGUUCCUCUCUCGAGAAUGAAGAUUCAAAUUGCAAUCCAUUGACGUACCUCAGCCUUUUGCCAGCUGAAAAUUUUCUCCACUUUUUUUCACAACCCCCGUUAGCGAGAAUCGAGCCGAAUCGAUCGUCACUCGUGACGUAAAACGAAGAAGAAUCGUUCUGGUCGCAAUAGGGGGAGGGGGAGGGGGACGUCAAUUGAGCGAUACGAGAAUAGACGAAUUUAUGAUCGGAAGUUUGAUAUUGCGUCAUAUUAUUCGCCUAAUUUUAGACCCGAGUACAAAGGCCAUGGAAAGCUGUCUGCAGGAUAUGUGUACAAAUUCAGACGGUGCGGAAGAGCGGAGAAUUUAGAACGAGUCUCGAUACGUUGCAUCAGUCACGUAUAUUGCGUGCCGUAGGAGAAGGUUGGAGAAUACUGAAAGAAAAAGGCAGCAAUUGAUCAUGUGCGCGUAAGAGACUGAUGGAAAUCGUCGAUAAAAGGCGUGUCGAGAAACAAUGUCGGAGGAAAAGCUUCCUUUCUGGUAAAGGUUUCGAUAAGACGGGCACAAGGUGAACUCGUGAACUUAGUUUCGUUCUUCUUUUUUCGUUCGUCAAUAACUGAAUGCAAUUCGAUAUAAAGUUGCGUAGAUUCUACUGUAGAGAACAGAAGUCAAAAUAGAGUGACGAUCUUAACGAACAACUGGCCAUUCGCGAUACAUCGUGAAAUUAUAUAACAUGGAGGCGGACAAUUUUUCUGUUGAGUCAAGUAAAAUUGUUGGAGACGGUCAAACGGAAUUUCUAUAUAUUAUGUGUCAGCUAAAUUUAAUUUAUAGCUAAUAACAGAUUAAUAGCUUUCUUUUUUUAAUGGUUAAGUAUACGUAGGAUAAUGACGUACGAACAUCAUUUCAGAUACGAUCAUGUUUUGUCCGAUUACGAACACGUUCACGUGAUUCUGUGUGAUAAUGUUUAUCGCAGAUCUUGUAUACAGUAUAAAUAAUUUGAUUAAUGCGACUACUACAUGGACUUUGUUAACGUGCGAGCAUGUCAAUUUCGAAAGCGGCGUUCAGCGGUUUAAUGAAGUGAAACAAACUGAUGAAACAUUUCUCAUUUUUGUCACUUGCAAGCAAUAAUCGCUGAAAGAAAUGAUUGUUCUCCGCCAGAUUAUUUGAUUUUACCAACUAUUUCUCCAUCUAUCUUACCCGCUUAAUUUUUUGAUAUCAAUGUCACCAAGUUAAAACCAGUUAUUCAAUUUAAGGCGUUCCAAUAAUUUGUCUUUCCCGCGUUACUUAAAAAGGAAAUUAUUCUAGACGAGUGUAAGAAUGAUUUGUAUAUGUCUCUGAUUAUAUCUACAAUAAUCUACUAUCAAUCAAUGGGAAAAACAAACCAUUAUGUAACUAAUAGAUAAAGAAUGAGAUUCUCAGUUGAUCUUUCGAACAAUACGGUUGUUAGACCAAUUUUUCAAUUAAAUUGUUAAUGAAUAACGUUGUGCACAGUAUUGACAAAUCAAAAAAUAAAAUUAGAUAUCUCGUCAUCGUCGUUUGAAGAUAUGAUAUAAAUCUACUAACCGGGUUAUUUUUUAACCAUAAAAUCCUAUAAUUACGAAAUUUAAGGUUAAUAGAAACAAAUCAGUUUCAGAUAGAUCGAUUU